AGUGAACGCUGGCGGUAGGCCUAACACAUGCAAGUCGAACGGCAACACAGUAAGAGCUUGCUCUUACGGUUGGCGAGUGGCGGACGGGUGAGGCAUACAUCGCAAUCUACUUUUUCGGGGGGGAUAACGUAGAGACACUUCCGCUAAUACCGCAUACGUCCUACGGGUGAAAGCAGGGGAUCUUCGGACCUUGCGCGAUUGAAUGAGCCGAGGUCGGAUUAGCUAGUUGGCGGGGUAAAGGCUCACCAAGGCGACGAUCCGUAGCUGGUCUGAGAGGAUGAUCAGCCACACUGGAACUGAGACACGGUCCAGACUCCUACGGGAGGCAGCAGUGGGGAAUAUUGGACAAUGGGCGAAAGCCUGAUCCAGCAAUACCGCGUGGGUGAAGAAGGCCUUCGGGUUGUAAAGCCCUUUUGUUGGGAAAGAAAAGCAGCAGGUUAAUAUCCCGCUGUUCUGACGGUACCCAAAGAGUAAGCACCGGCUAACUUCGUG
rnacentral:rRNA from 1 species